rnacentral:siRNA from 1 species
UUCGAUGCUUAACGAAAGGGU